rnacentral:lncRNA from 1 species
GCAGGUUGUUUGGCCUGAGGCUGUCAUCAACAUGUGGGAGGGCUGCUCUGCUCAGCUGCAGGGCCAGCGUUGGUCCCAGUCUAGACAAUCGCAGUUGCUCAGAUCUCCAAGAUCACACACAUUUUCUCACAAAAUGCCUGUGAAGCUUACCAGCACUUGAGUGGCAACAUAGGGGCAUCUUUCUUCUCCUUUACCUGCCUCCAUGCCUAGGAAAGACUAGUGUGGGUAGGGUGUAGGCUAGUCAGGAGGAGUCAGGCUGGGGGCUAUGCCCUGAGCCUUCCCCUUCCGAGGGACUGGAUACUGGCUCCUCUGCCGAGAGCAUCAUCCCCUCAGCCUCAGCAAGCAGUGAAAAAGGCAUGCCCUGCAGAAGUGAACACACUUGUCUCGGCUCAGCCACUCCACUCACUUUUGAUGCAACCUUUCCCUUCUCUGGGAAUUCUACAUGAAUCUUUGGGAAGAUUUAUUUUACGUGUCAAUGUGGCUAAUUCACGGUACCCAGUUGUCCAAACACCAAUCUGGAAGUCUCUGUGAAGGUGUUUUUCAGAUGUGAUUAGCAGUUGGAUCAGUAGAUGUGAGUAAAGCAGAGUCUGCUCCAUAAUGGGGGUGGGCUUUACCCAAUGAGUUAAAGAAGUUAAAACAUUUGGGUCCCCCAAGGAGGAGGGAAUUCUGCCUUCAGACUGCCCUUGGCCUUUAGCUACAUCAACUGUGCCUGGGCCUCCAGCCUCUCCUGUAGACUGGAUUUGCCAGUCUCACAAUCAUGUGAGCCAAUUCCUUCAAAUCUUUCUCUCUUUUUUCUCUCUCUCUCUCGACAUCCUAUUUGUUUUGUCUCUGGAGAACCCUAAUACAAUCUCCUUAGGCUCAUUAGCCCAACAAACCACAUAGAGAACUUCUAGUGUAUAGAGAAUAAAUCAAAUCAAAUGGCAGUUUUCAGCCAUUUGUGGGCAUCCAGUAGGAGACCUGUAGGAUCCAUUUCUUUUUAGAGUGGGGUUUACCUGAAGAAGCUAGUGAUGAACGGCCAGAUGUUAUCAGGAGACUGCUCCAUUUUCAUAAACCAGAUUUCCUUGUGGUUUGCUCUGAAGCCGGCUUCCUCACGUUGGAGUGACUGGGAGCAGUGGACCAGCAGACAGUGACAGUGAGUUCCAGGCGAGAGAAGCACGGAGUAGGGGCUCUGCUUUCGACUCACUUGAGAGGCUGCAAGGAAGUGAUUUGAAUUCUGAGUUUUCCCACAAAUUCCAUGAGGUCAAGUUACUUCCGCUAAAUUUCAUAUUGGUUAUGAACUCUGUUUUCAAAUGCAGCAUGUAAACUCCUUCUGUAAAAUAAAAGGAAGUAGGAUAUUCAGCAAUUCUUUACUGGAUGUGAUCAGCAAAGACAAGACAUCUGCAGCUGAUGGGAUCACCUAGAUUUGGAGGUUGGGGAACAGGGAAGAUCUAAACACCCUUGUUUUCUUGGCCUCUUUGGUCUCAGCCACAUGGAAUCAGAUUAUUUGACUAGGACUAUUAAUGCAUAAGAAGGGAGAAACACAAAAAGGUGAUUUCUUGAGGUUUCAGCUUACCUUGUCAAUGAUUCUGCAACUGUGUGCCAUGAAUUCUUAGUCCUGCAACAUGGUCAUAAAGACAGAAACAUUCCACAAAGUUGUAUAUGAUGGUCUUCUCCUCCUACUUGGAGAGUUCCCUGCUAUUGUUAGCCCUUCUAGGGCCCCCUACUCUCCCUCAAAAGAGCAUUUUCUCAAACAGAAGUGCCCACUCUAGAAGACCACUUUGUUUUUGAUUUGGAAAAUCAAGCUUGGCUUUGGUAAGUUCAUGUUAAAUCUGAAAGAAGAUGUUGAUUAGUCCAGCUAUAAUUAAUAACAGUAAGUAUAUCAUUAGCAUGUACAGAAUCUAACCAAUAAAUUAUGGAAACGUUUUCUGUCUUUUCAAGCCUGAAGGUUCUUUCAUAGAUGGCCUGCUUUGGGAACUCGGUGGAGACCCAGUAUUACACACACGCCAGGAAGCCCGGGAGGACCUUCAUCUCACCCUUGCCACGUGCCCCUCAGGCAGGAGGUCAGGUGGAGCCACGUCGGGGCCUUGGAGACUCGGCUGAGAGGUGUGAUGGAAGAUGGGGCGUGAUGGAAGAUGGGACAUGAAAGUGCUGCGGCUGCACUGACAUUCUUAUGGCCCUCACUCCAAGCACUUCUCACCACUCAAACCAGCGGCCCCAAGUAAAGCUUUUGGGGGCACUGAGAGUCCAUGCCUGAGUGAGGUACUGAAGGACAGACUCAGUGAUGGGAGAGCACAUUGAUUUUCUCAAUGCCUAUGGCUCUAUUUUCUCCCACUCCAAAGAACCAAGGCAAAAUUCAGCAUAAGUCAAGGUCCAGGCUUUGAAAGAAAUCCAGGUGUUUGUUCUCCUGUAAAAGGAGCACGUCAUAAACCCAGCACACACCCCAGGCCUGAGACGCCCACUCCUUCCUACCAGGGGAACCUGGCCAUGUUCUUCGUGGAGAAGGCACCUCCAGCAGGUGGCCACCACAGCAGCAUCCGGUGUGACUCAGUGGCCCCUGAGCUGGCAUGUCUGCUGGGCCUGCUCCCUC